CACGUAGGGUCCGAGCGUUGUCCGGAAUUACUGGGCGUAAAGCGUGCGCAGGCGGUUGGGUCAGUCGCUGGUGAAAGCCCCACGCUCAACGUGGGAAUGGCCAACGAGACGGCCCGACUGGAGGCAGGGAGAGGCCGGUGGAAUUCCACGUGUAGCGGUGAAAUGCGUAGAGAUGUGGAGGAACACCAGUGGCGAAGGCGACUUUCUGGUCUGUAACUGACACUGAGGCGCGAAAGCGUGGGGAGCGAACAGG
rnacentral:rRNA from 1 species